AACGAACGCUGGCGGCGUGGAUAAGACAUGCAAGUCGAACGGGACAGGUAGCAAUAUCUGUCUAGUGGCGAACGGGUGCGUAACACGUGGGCAACAUGCCUGGAAGAGCGGGAUAGCCCGGGGAAACUCGGAUUAAUACCGCAUGUGACAACGGGGCGGCUUCGCCCUGUUUUCAAAGGUGGGGACCGCAAGGCCUGCCGCUUCCAGAUUGGCCCGCGUCCUAUCAGCUAGUUGGCGGGGUAAAAGCCCACCAAGGCGACGACGGGUAGCUGGUCUGAGAGGACGACCAGCCACACUGGAACUAAGACACGGUCCAGACACCUACGGGUGGCAGCAGUCGAGAAUCUUUCACAAUGGGGGAAACCCUGAUGGAGCGACGCCGCGUGGAGGAUGACGGUCUUCGGAUUGUAAACUCCUGUCAUGAAAGAACAAGCGGAGCGGGUGAACAGCCCGCCGAGUUGAUAGUAUUUCAAGAGGAAGGGACGGCUAACUUCGUGCCAGCAGCCGCCGUAAUAC
rnacentral:rRNA from 1 species